rnacentral:rRNA from 1 species
AGUGAACGCUGGCGGCAGGCCUAACACAUGCAAGUCGAACGGCAGCACAGUAAGAGCUUGCUCUUACGGGUGGCGAGUGGCGGAUGGGUGAGGAAUACAUAGGAAUCUACUUUUUCUGGGGGGAUAACGGAGGGAAACUUAUGCUAAUACCGCAUACGUCCUACGGGUGAAAGCAGUAGUUCUUCGGGCCUUGCGCGAUUGAAUGAGCCGAUGUCGGAUUAGCUAGUUGGCGAGGUAAAGGCCCACCAAGGCGACGAUCCGUAGCUGGUCUGAGAGGAUGAUCGGCCACACUGGAACUGAGACACGGUCCAGACUCCUACGGGAGGCAGCAGUAGGGAAUCUUGGACAAUGGGCGCAAGCCUGACGCAGCAACGCCGCGUGAGUGAUGAAGGUCUUCGGAUUGUAAAGCUCUGUUAUUAGGAAAGAAAAAAUGUGUAAGAAAAUAUGCACGUUUUGACGGUACCUAAUCAGAAAGCCACGGCUAACUACGUG